rnacentral:misc_RNA from 1 species
ACGGUUUUCGGGUGCCCUCGUGGCGCCCAAACCCCAACCCUGUGAUUUGACAACCUGUUUCUUUGCCGGUGCCCUCGGGCCCGGCAGAAGCCUACUCAAACUCGUUUAUAAUCAUGCCUUCUGAAAUCUAAAAUAUAAUGAAUCA